rnacentral:rRNA from 1 species
GGCUUUUUGAUAAUAAUUUAAGGUCUGACCUGCCCAUUGAGGAAUUUAAAGGCUGCAGUAAAUUGACUGUACUAAGGUAGCAUAAUCAUUAGUUUUUUAAUUGGAAGCUGGAAUGAAUGGUUGGAUAAAAAAAUAACUGUCUCUAUUUAAUUUUAAAUGAAUUUUAUUUUUAAGUUAAAAAGCUUAAAUUAAUUUAAAAGACGAGAAGACCCUAUAGAGUUUUAUAAAAUAUAAGUUUAGAUUUUUUAGUAUUAUUAUUUUUUAAUUUUAAUUUUAUUUGAUUGGGGUGAUUGAAAAAUUUAAUUAACUUUUUUAUAAUUAUUACAUAAAUUAAUGAAUGAUUGAUCCAUAAAUUAUGAUUAAAAGAUUAAAUUACCUUAGGGAUAACAGCGUAAUUUUUUUUAAGAGUUCUGAUUGAGAAAAAAGUUUGCGACCUCGAUGUUGGAUUAAAAUUAAUUUUUGGUGUAGAAGCUAAGAAUUUUAGGUCUGUUCGACCUUUAAAAUUU